rnacentral:rRNA from 1 species
ACACCUACGGGUGGCAGCAGUCAAGAAUCAUUCACAAUGGGGGAAACCCUGAUGGUGCGACGCCGCGUGGGGGAUAAGGUCUUCGGAUUGUAAACCCCUGUCAUGUGGGACAUUAAAAAGAUAGUACCACAAGAGGAAGAGACGGCUAACUCUGUGCCAGCAGCCGCGGUAAUACAGAGGUCUCAAGCGUUGUUCGGAAUCACUGGGCGUAAAGCGUGCGUAGGCUGUUUCGUAAGUCGUGUGUGAAAGGCGCGGGCUCAACCCGCGGACGGCACAUGAUACUGCGAGACUAGAGUAAUGGAGGGGGAACCGGAAUUCUCGGUGUAGCAGUGAAAUGCGUAGAUAUCGAGAGGAACACUCGUGGCGAAGGCGGGUUCCUGGACAUUAACUGACGCUGAGGCACGAAGGCCAGGGGAGCGAAAGGGAUUAGAUACCCCUGUAGUCCUGGCAGUAAACGGUGCACGCUUGGUGUGCGGGGAUCGACCCUGCGUGCCGGAGUAACGCGUUAAGCGUGCCCGCCGGGGAGUAC